rnacentral:lncRNA from 1 species
GGACGGGCGGCCGUGAGCUCACGGGGCUGUCCUCGUGAGCUCGGAGGACAGGGGGGACCCCCCGAACCAGGCUGGCCGCGGGAGCUGCACUCACCCCGAGUCGAGGCCGCCGGACGCUUCCCAGAGGAAGCCGAAUAGUGCAAGCCGGAGGAGAAGCCAGCGACCCGUGGAGGUCGCCAUAUUGGACCGGGGCCUCGGGUCAUGUGGGCUCGCCUCACGUGACUCAAGUCCCAGGGUGGCCGCUUUCAGCUCGGACUGAAUUACCUGCGCUCUUUUCGGCUGGCGGGCUGGCGGGCUGGCGGGCGGUGCUGGUGAUGUUAACUUUUUAUCUCCAGUCAUUUCACCCUCUCCCUGGUUUGGUAACUGAAGCCUUCUGAAAUGAACCAGUGUUAGGCUCCAGUGAGGACUCCAUCCCCAAUUCAGGAAGCACAGAAGUGGAGUAUAAUCCCCCCGAUUUGUUUAUGUGCGGUUGACUUCUCUCAAGGUGGUGUGCCUGUUUGGGAAAACUUUUGUUUGCAAGACAAUGUGAAAGAAAUCCUUAAAGCUCACGGACUGCCGGGUGGAUAUGACAUUCUGGCCCUUGGUUCCCCCAAGAAAACAGCAACUUGCAGAAAGCAAGUCAAACUUGUCAGCAGAAUCCAGGGAUGUUCCUCGAGGCCUGACAACUUAAGAGCAAUCACGGGAAGGCAUUCAGAGGACCACAGCAGAGGAUCAGGUCAAGGGAAGCCUACCUCCUAAAGGAAAGAUCGAGAAGAACCAUGCGCCCCACUACCCACCGGGGCUGCUCAGCUGGGCACAGAAGCAGCCAAGGAUAUUUUCAUUCGGAUGCUCACAUAUGACUGAGUUGCCACAUGAGGAUGAUCCGUGGCGAUUUUCCACCUUGAGGCAAAGCAGGACAAUGCGUGUAAAGAGGCUUGCAGCCCCGGGACCGGGUUUUCAGCUGGUUUUUCUACCCCAGAGUCUAAUGCGUGCAGGCUGUCAUCAGCACCACAGACAGCACCAGAACCCAUAAUAACGUCCCAGAAGGUUUUAUUGCUAAAUUAGUGUCAGAGCUCCAGGGAACACAUUCAGAUAUAGUCACACUGAGUCAGAGCUCGAGGGAAGAGCUGUAAGCUGGGAACCAGAGAACCGAUGACAAGGCAGCAGCCUCUUCUGGCAGCUUCCGGAGGAGCCCCCAGUUAAUGGGACGUCAUCACUUGAGGCAGCAGGUAACGUUUACUUGGCACUUAGUAUGUUACGGGCACCAUUUCCAGUAUUCUAGAAACACAAUACUCACAGCAGUGGAGGUAACAUUGAGGUAGGGGCUGGGUUUUGUUUUUUUUUUGACUCCCACUCUGUUACCCAGGCUGGAGUGCAGUGGUGCAAUCAUACCUCACUGCAGCCUUGAACUCCUGGGCUCAAGUGAUCCUCCCUCCUCAAGUGAGCCUCCCGAGUAGCUGGGACUACAGGUGUUCACUAGUGCACCCAGUGAGGGUUGGUGGGGAGGUGUCUCGUUAUGUUGCCCAGGCUGGUCUCGAACUUCUGAAUCCAAGCGAUCCUCCCACCUCAGCCUCCCAAAGUGCUGGGAUUAUAGAGGCGGGCCACUGUGCCCUUCCAAGGUAGGGGUUAUUAUUAUCACAAUUUUACUGAUGAGAAAACUGAGUCCCAGAGAAGUUGGUGACUGCUCAAGGACACAGACAGCUAGGACUUGAAUUCAGGCAGCCUGGCCACAGAACCACACCAUCAACCGCUAUGCUAUACUGUGUUUUGUAAAAUGACAUGAUGGCCAUGUGAUACAAUGUAAUGAUACAGCAGAGUUUUGUGCUCAGGAUGUAAAAAUGAGUAUGUGCUGCCUUUCAUGGUUAUCUGUUGAGUUCUGGCUCAUGACCUGAACUAUUUUUUCCAAGACCCUUCCUUCUCCCACUGGGAAAGAUACUAUAUUUGGUAACUGAACAAAUAGCCUUUAAGAUAUCAGUUUAUGGGUCUUUUUAGAAUUUGUGGCUGGGUGCAGUGGCUCAUGCCUGUAAUCCCAGCACUUUGGGAGGACAAGGCAAGAGGAUCACUUGAGGCCGGGAGUUCGAGACCAGCCAAGUCCAUGUAGUGAGACCCCCAUCUCUACAAAAAAUUUAAAAGUUAGCUUGGCAUGGUGGCACACACCUGUUGUCCCAGCUACUCAGGAGGCGAGAUGGGAAGAUUGCUGAGCCCAGGAGUUUGAGGCUGCAGUGAGCCUAGGUGACAGAGCAGGACCUCACCUAUUAAUUAAAAAAAAAAAAAAGAAAGAAAAGAAAAAAGAAUUUGUGUUGAGUGGGAUUGGAGAGUCGAAACAGACCAAGAGGUUGUCCAAGGUUGUCCUCAAAGCUGAGAAACAAGACUCAACCCUGGGUCAGUUGCAGUUGAAUUUUAUUCAUCCGUUCACACCUGGGUCCCUCCCGGCCCCCACCUACCCUGGCCCUGCCUACUCAGGGCUUCCAAGAUGGGGUGUCGGGGUGGCUUUGCUUAUCCUCCAGAUGCCUUCUUCCCAGGAUGUGAUCCGUGCCCUCCAGGAUGUAAGGGAUGAGGACUAAAGGGGUCUGUUCCUCCUCCAGGUAGCAGGCGUGGAACCAUCUGUCUCAGCGGCUGCUUGGUGGUGGCGGUGUGGAUGGGUGUGGCUCUCUGUUUGCUGGGGGGUAUUCUGCCAGGAUGUACAGGAAGCCACCCAGGGCUGCCACUGCUGUGGCUGUGUUGUGGGAGGAGCAGCCAUCUAGGGGAGAGAGCCCCCAUGAGUGCUGGGUGGCAAGAACCUUGGCCCUUUAUUCAACACAGUCCCAUUGAAAGUGCUUUUCAGCCAGACGCGGUGGCUCACACCUAUAAUCCCACACUUUGGGAGCCUGAGGUGGGCGGAUCACUUGAGAUCAGGAGUUCGAGACCAGCGUGAGCAACAUGAUGAAAC